rnacentral:rRNA from 1 species
CCUACGGUGGCUGCAGUGGGGAAUAUUGGACAAUGGGCGAAAGCCUGAUCCAGCCAUGCCGCGUGUGUGAAGAAGGCCUUCGGGUUGUAAAGCACUUUCAGUGGGGAAGAAAGCCUUGGGGCUAAUACCCUCGAGGAAGGACAUCACCCACAGAAGAAGCACCGGCUAACUCCGUGCCAGCAGCCGCGGUAAUACGGAGGGUGCGAGCGUUAAUCGGAAUUACUGGGCGUAAAGCGCGCGUAGGCGGUCUGAUAAGCCGGUUGUGAAAGCCCCGGGCUCAACCUGGGAACGGCAUCCGGAACUGUCAGGCUAGAGUGCAGGAGAGGAAGGUAGAAUUCCCGGUGUAGCGGUGAAAUGCGUAGAGAUCGGGAGGAAUACCAGUGGCGAAGGCGGCCUUCUGGACUGACACUGACGCUGAGGUGCGAAAGCGUGGGUAGCAAACAGGAUUAGAUACCCCAGAGUC